rnacentral:lncRNA from 1 species
AAAGACUAGAUAGAGAUGGAUAUUUACCUUUUUCUUUUUGGAAAUCGAGGUCCUUGCGUAGAGAAGAAGGAGAUCUACACUUUUCCCUUCAGUUGGCAGCGCAACCGAAACUCCCUUCCACCUCGAAUCCCUCUUCUUUCUUCUUUUUCUUCUUCUUCUUCUCUUUUUCUUUCUCUCUGUGUCGUCUGAGAACCCUCCCCCUCUCCUCUCUGUUUCACUCCCGUGAGCCAGC